rnacentral:rRNA from 1 species
CCUACGGGAGGCAGCAGUGAGGAAUAUUGGUCAAUGGCCGGAAGGCUGAACCAGCCAAGCCGCGUGAAGGACGAAGGUGCCAAGCAUUGUAAACUUCUUUUGUCAAGGGACAAAAUCAGGCUCGAGUGCCUGACCGAGGGUACUCGAAGAAAAAGCAUCGGCUAACUCCGUGCCAGCAGCCGCGGUAAUACGGAGGAUGCGAGCGUUAUCCGGAUUUGUUGGGUUUAAAGGGUGCGUAGGCGGGCUGGUAAGUCAGCGGUAAAAGCCCGGGGCUCAACCCCGGCGAGCCGUUGAGACUGGCUGACUUGAGAUGGCGAGAGGUAUGCGGAAUGCGCGGUGUAGCGGUGAAAUGCUUAGAUAUUGAGCAGAACUCCGAUUGCGAAGGCAGCGUACCGGCGGCGAACUGACGCUGAGGCACGAAAGCGUGGGUAUCGAACAGGAUUAGAUACCCUGGUAGUC